GGGGGGAUCCCAUUGACUUCAAGAGGAAUGGAGCAAUCAGUGCACUUUCCUCAUGGGACAUUUGAAGAGGAGUGGAACCAGCAGAAAAAGAAAAAAAAAACAGAACCAAAAAGCCUUUUGGGCUUUUCUCUCAAAGCCUAAACCUUUUAUUAGUGAAAAGAGAUUUAAGACCAGAGACAAUGACUUGAAGAAAUGGAAAGAUGUCAUUUGUUUCAUUCGAUUUAGGGUUUGGUACCCUGGAGAAGGAAGGAGAAUAUGAACAGCAAGGUAGGGAAAGGAGAGAGGGAGAGAGAACAGAUUUUUGAUCCUGGAGCAGCAGAGAUGAACCUUAUUUCCCAGUAGCACCACUGGGAGAAAUCACAAAAUCCCAGGGAGGAAAGACUGUGUGAUGCUGCUAGGAAGAUGGGACCACAGGACUCUUACUUUCCAAGCAUUACAAAGAAGCAUGGAGAGGGAGUGGAUGAAAAGGAGCCAUGUGGACAGGGACAAUGGAUGUAUCAGUGGCCACCUUUGUGUAGAACCAUGACCGAGCAUCAAAUGCAGCCACUCUGGAUGUAAAAGACAAGGUGUGCCUGACCCCAGCAAGGAGUGAAGUUAAAUUUUUUCUAUAGAUCAGAGGAUAGAGAGCAGGCAGUCAGAUAAAGUCAAACUGAAAAUAAAGAAGGAAUAUUUAUUACACAUCUGAGCUUAAAGUUUGAAAUGUGUACCUAUGAUGAAUAGAAAAAGAAUUGGCCUUGGGGAAGGCCAAUGUGAAGACAGUGGCCUGCAUUUGGCGAAUGGAGAGAACUUUCCUGUACCCAAGACAGCAUGGCUGGCUGGUCAUUGAAAGGCAAACCCUUACUUAUCUAUUUGGGUUGUUCUACUCACUGUCCCUAUCAGGAUGGUGGAAGUUACUGAAAGUUGAGGUCUAGGUUAAUAAAGCAAGAACCCUGAUAGAGUUACUGCCUCAAUGAAAGGGGGUUUAGACAAAUUAUACCCAUCAGCCCUGGGAAACAAAUUGGGGAAUUUGUCACUUGGCAGGGCUCUGGGUUGGAAAAUUACAAAAUCACUUCAUCCAUGAGAAAGUGAAAUGCCGAGUCUGCACCUCAUGUAAUGUUAAAAAUCAAAUUUGCACUACUGAUUCCUGGAUUUCUAAUGAGAAAUUCACCUUAGAAGCUUGUUCUCUACUGGUAAAACCCCCAAGGUUCCCGGAAGAUACAAAUGCAAAAUUACUCUGUAAUAACAUUACCAUAACCUUAGG
ensembl:lncRNA